rnacentral:rRNA from 1 species
GUGAGUCAUCGAGUCUUUGAACGCACCUUGCACCCUUUGGUAUUCCAAAGGGUAUGCCCGUUUGAGUGUCAUUAUACUCUCACACUCUCUAAUUAGUUAGAGAACGGUGGAUUUGGAUGUUGCCUGGUACUUACUGUCAGGCUCAUCUUAAAUGAGUUAAGUGCGACUCUUAGUUAAACAUAGUAACGGCGUGAUAAGUAACCCUCGCUGUUUUCUGUCUGAUUAGGAGCUUUGUGCUUCAAACCGUCUCAGGACAAUAUUUUGAUAACUUGACCUCAAAUCGAGUAGGAUUACCCGCUGAACUUAAGCAUAUCAAUAAGCGGAGG